GGAAUCGUUGUGAAUUAACAUCCUUAUGCCGACGUGUUCCCAACUCAAUGCUAGCAUUGGGGUGCCCUAGCAGGCACCCACUGUGUCCCAUUCCCCACAGCAGCCACACUCUGGCAAUGACAGCAUGCAGUGACAUUUGCCAUCCAGGGUAAGAGUCCAUCCAUUGCUACCAGAGGCACCCCCGUGGUCACUGACCUCUGCUUCCAGUGAGGCUCCUGGACCUGAGCUUCAGCACAGGCUGGAAGAGGUGAAAGGUCCCUCCCUGGCCACCACAGUGGAUUGGGAUGUCAGUCUGCUCACAGAGGUGCCCCAGGCAUGGGAACAGUGCUGCUUCAAAUCAACCAAGAUCCUCAGAAUCCUCUCUGGAGUAUGAAAAAGAACUUCCUGUCACUGGUUGUUUUCUCAUUAAACAAGGAAUUAAGAAAAGAAGAACUGAAACCACUGAUUUUAUGAAAAGAGCAUGGAGACCAGCAGCCCAGGCACUGGAGAGGAAAUUGUCCCCUGGGUAAUAUGGUGCCAUGGAAGUACAAUCUGAUGGCCAAAGUCACCAGAUGGUGCUAUUGUGCACACUAUUUUUGUGCGUGUGUGACCAUCAUCUGUGCUUUGAAGGGACCUUGAGGGGUUUCUCUGUAGGAUGAGGGCUCUGGGGUGGUUUGCUCUCUGCCUUCCUCCCUCCUAGUCCAAUGCAGACCUUGGGGCUGAGCACUUCUAGGCUGAUCACUGCCUCAUUGGCCCCAACUCCCAAAUGGGGCUGCCUCCAUGCCAUUUCACCCUUCACUGUUUGAGGAGAAAGAAUAAAUGAAACUCCCUAUGCACAGAAAACUCCUCAUUCUGAGUCUUUGAUUUCUUCCCCAUGGGAAAUCCAAUCUCCACUCAAGAGGAUGUAAAAAAAAAAAAGCUGGGACUUCCAUCAUGCCCAAGGAGGCAAGGAGCAUAUUUUGCUUGCUGAUCAACAAAAGUGCCUUCUGAAAUAUCCCAAAGCAAAAUUACCCUGCAGACAGGCACAAAAUCCCCAUCCUUUAGGCUACAAGCCCACAGAACUGAAGGGCACUGCUCUGUGCUCCAGGAAAGUGCUUCUUUCUGGAAGGGCUCUGCUUUGAACCCUGUAGAUUAACUCCCAAAAGCAGGAUCAUGGUCAGAGAAGCGCUCUGUGGCACUGAAGCAUGAUGAGCAGAAUGUAUCCCAGGUUCAGAAACGUCUCAGUUCCUGUCACCACCAGAAUAAUAAAUGCAAA